rnacentral:lncRNA from 10 species
UCUCAAGUUCAACUCCACCACCCCCACUUGGUAUCCCACUGCUGGAGACCCAGCUCAGCCUGGAGUUGUUAGGACCGGCAAGCACCGGGGAACCGUCCGCCAUACUUCUCGGAAACUGGGAUCUGGCUAACUGGAGGAUGGAAGGCUGUCUUAGACUCCUUUACCUCACGGGACCCCCGUCCUGCCAUCUCACUGCAAGUCUCCUUCCCCCUGCUCUGGUAGCACAAAGCAGAAAUCAACUCCCACUCAGAAAACAGCUAGGCACUGCCACUUACAGAGGCAUAAAUAUCAGAUGUGGAUGCUUUACAAGAACAUUUUCAAGACUAGAAUUACAGGAAAAAACAGGACAGCAAUGUCAGAGUGUCUGAUUAUUUAAGUCUCAGCAGCAGUCACCAUCACUGUUCUGAUGCCCAUUUCCAGACAUGGAACCUGAAGCCCAGAGAGAUUCAUUGCAAGCAGAGGUGUUACUGCAGCAAGCUGGAGCCUUGGAAGACAGCAGCCAUCAGGACCAGAAUAUGUGAGGAUGAUAUGGUUUCACUAUGUCCCCACUCAAAUCUCAUCUUCAAUUGUAGCUACCAUAAUUCCCCAAGUGUUGUGGGAGGGACUCAGUGGGGGGUAAUUUAAUCAUGGGGGCAGGUCUUUCCUGUGCUGUUUUCAUGAUAGUGAAUACGUCUCACAAGAUCUGAUGGUUUUGUAAAGGGGAGUUCCCCUGCACUUCUCCUUGCUGCCACCAUGUGAAGAAGGACCUGUUUGCUUCCCUUCCACCAUGAUAGUAAGCUUCCUGAGGCCUCCCCAGCCCUGGGGAACUGUGAGCCAAUUAAACCUCUUUCCUUUCUAAAUUACCCAGUCUUGGCUAUGUCCUUAUAGCAGCGUGAGAAUAGACCAAAACAGAGGAUUAAGAUCAAGAAGACAUGAUGUUGACUUCAGGGACACCAGGAACAGUGCAGAACCCUGUUACCCCAGAGCAGGUGGGACAGGGAAAUUGUUCUGAGACUAUACGUACAACUUAAUUUUUGCCUCCAACCCGGUAUGGCCUGGGAAGUAGAGGCUUUAUUUUCUGUUAUUUGUUGGGUUGAGCCUAAGACUUUAUUAAUAUUUCAAAUAUUUUUACAGUAUUGCUUAUAAUCAAGUUAUUUUUAAAAUAUUUUAAGUGUGAUUUUA